AAAAAUAACAUUGGGAAGUUUGAGCCCAAUUGAUUCAUUGGUCUUUUAUAAUUUUGAUUUUUGGUGUCUUAACCCAAAUUGAAUUACUAUGAAGAAAGGAGAUUCUGUCAGCAAAAUGCAGCUUUGGCAAACUGUUGACCCCUGGGCAUGCAAAAACGGUAACGAAUUUAAAGGAGAAGCAGGGGGAAAAACCCACUGUUAUAGCAGUUUUGCAGCAUUUCUUGGGUUCUAAGACAAAGGAAACUUCUGGGUUCUUAGAGAAAGCAGACAGAACUACAAUGGAGGUAGAAUUGUAAGAGAUGCUGGAUGACAUCUUGUCUCUAAGGCAAUCUUUGUCUGAUCCUUCUCUUCAUGCUUCCAUUGACAAGCUGCAAUCGUGUGUUGAUCGUUACUCAUCUUGCUAAGUCUGUACCUGUUCGGCGAACGAAAGUCAAGGAUAUGAGUGCUGAGUGGUUGAUAGCAAUCCUUAUAGUACGCUCAUGGCACUUCAAAGAAUGGGAAUUGUAGAGAACUAUGAAAGGAUCCGGGAGUUCUCCAUUGCAAUAGUUUAUGUUUUUGUCUUCUGAUUUCUAUGUCAUUUUUCGAUAAAGCCUUUGUCUAGCGCAUACUAUCAGUUCCAUCAUGUCACUGUAGAUUGAAAAUUCUUGUUGUAUUGAUUCUGUUCUCAUUGAUAAUCUUCUUGAACUUGCAGGGUAUUGGUGGUGUUGGCAGUGUUGCAGCUGAGAUGCUAACAAGGUGCGGCAUAGGUCGACUUUUGUUGUAUGAUUAUGAUAAAGUGGAGUUCGCUAACAUGAACAGGCUAUUUUUUCGUCCAGAGCAGGUGUAUGUACAUGCCCUUUUCCAAAUUAUUUCGUUUUGGCUUCCUGUUGGAAAACGGCAUGUUUUAUCAUAUACAUUACCAAAAGUGCCACCAAUUCCCUGCCCCUUGAAACUAUGGUUUUUGCAUUGAUAUAAAGCCAGAAGCUUGGUUUUGUACCUUAAUUUGAAUAAUAUGAUUUUCAAAUUUUCCUUCUCUAUGAAAGUUGGUAUGACAAAGACUGAUGCUGCUGUUCAUACCCUGUCGGACAUAAAUCCUGAUGUUUUGCUUGAGGUAAGUGUUUUUCUUUAAAAAAAAAAUUCUACAUUUGGUAAUGUUUGAUUUCUAAUCUUAUCAGAAUUUGAUAUGGUAAACGUGUUAUGCAUACGUUUAUCAUUUACUCCACUGUGCAUUUUAGAACUUACCCCAUUGAUUGGUUCAUUUCUUUAGAGCUAUACACUGAACAUUACCAUUGUAGAAGGCUUUGAAACCCUUAUGUCAAGCUUAAAGAAUAAACAUUUCGCCCAAGAAAGGAAGGUACCGGAGUGGAUCUUGUUUUAAGCUGUGUAGACAAAUUACAAAGCAAGGAUGGUGGUCAACCAGGCUGGCAAUGAGUUGAAUCAAGCAUGGAUGGAAUCUGAUUACUGAACAGAGGAAAUUUUGGAACAAGUGUAUCUGAGGAUGCAGUUUCAGGUCAUAUACAGUUGCUAAUUCCGGGAGAAACUGCUUCCUUUGCAUGUGCACCUCCUUUGGUACAUUCAUCAAUUAAUCUAUUAUAUCAGCUUAAUGUAGAUGUGAAACGCCUAGUGCAUAUUUGUGUACAGUUAGGUUAUAUAAUCUUCAAAAAGAAAUAUGUGUGCUAUACUAUUCCGUUUAAGGUUGUAGCAUCAGGAAUGGAUGAACAAACAAGGGGUUUGUGCCGCAUCCUU